AUUCAAUUGACGAGCCGCAAAUAGGACGAAACACGCGUCAAACUGGAU
rnacentral:hammerhead_ribozyme from 1 species